rnacentral:rRNA from 1 species
UCGGGAAUCUUGCGCAAUGGGCGAAAGCCUGACGCAGCAACGCCGCGUGCGGGAUGAAGGCUCUCGGGUUGUAAACCGCUUUCAGCAGGAACGAAAAUGACGGUACUUGCAGAAGAAGGUGCGGCCAACUAUGUGCCAGCAGCCGCGGUGAUACAUAGGCACCAAGCGUUGUCCGGAUUUAUUGGGCGUAAAGAGCUCGCAGGUGGUUCGGUAAGUCGGGUGUGAAAACUUUGGGCUCAACCCAAAGCCUGCAUCCGAUACUGCUGUGACUAGAGUUCGGUAGGGGAGCGGGGAAUUCCUAGUGUAGCGGUGAAAUGCGCAGAUAUUAGGAGGAACACCGGUGGCGAAGGCGCCGCUCUGGGCCGAUACUGACACUGAGGAGCGAAAGCGUGGGUAGCAAACAGGAUUAGAUACCCACGUAGUCCCUGAGCGGGCUGGCAAGGCGCAU